rnacentral:rRNA from 1 species
UACGUAGGGUGCGAGCGUUGUCCGGAAUUACUGGGCGUAAAGAGCUCGUAGGUGGUUUGUCGCGUUGUUCGUGAAAUCUCACGGCUUAACUGUGAGCGUGCGGGCGAUACGGGCAGACUAGAGUACUGCAGGGGAGACUGGAAUUCCUGGUGUAGCGGUGGAAUGCGCAGAUAUCAGGAGGAACACCGGUGGCGAAGGCGGGUCUCUGGGCAGUAACUGACGCUGAGGAGCGAAAGCGUGGGGAGCGAACAGGAUUAGAUACCCUGGUAGUCCACGCCGUAACCGGUGGGUACUAGGUGUGGGUUUCCUUCCCUUGGGAUCCGUGCCGUAGCUAACGCAUUAAGUACCCCGCCUGGGGAGUACGGCCGCAAGGCUAAAACUCAAAGGAAU